AUUGAACGCUGGCGGCAUGCCUUACACAUGCAAGUCGAACGGUAACAGGUUAAGCUGACGAGUGGCGAACGGGUGAGUAAUACAUCGGAACGUGCCCAGACGUGGGGGAUAGCUCGGCGAAAGCCGGAUUAAUACCGCAUAAGCUCUGAGGAGGAAAGCGGGGGACCGUAAGGCCUCGCGCGUUUGGAGCGGCCGAUGGCAGAUUAGUAGUUGGUGGGGUAAAGGCUUACCAAGCCUACGAUCUGUAGCUGGGCUGAGAGGACGACCAGCCACACUGGGACUGAGACACGGCCCAGACUCCUACGGGAGGCAGCAGUGGGGAAUUUUGGACAAUGGGCGAAAGCCUGAUCCAGCAAUGCCGCGUGCAGGAUGAAGGCCUUCGGGUUGUAAACUGCUUUUGUACGGAACGAAAAGGCGCCUACUAAUACUGGGUGUUGAUGACGGUACCGUAAGAAUAAGCACCGGCUAACUACGUGCCAGCCGCCGCAGUAACAC
rnacentral:rRNA from 1 species